GGAGCAGGCCAGACCGCCGCCUGUGCAAGUGCCGAAAGGCCGCAUGGGAGGAAGGUCCGGACUGCACAGAGCAGCGUAGCGGGUAACGCCCGUCCACCGCAAGGUGCGGAUCAGAGCCACAGAGACGAGUCUUGACGGGACGCCCAGCCAGGGUGUUCUAUGACGGGUCGGCGCAAGCCGACCGGCCGCUGGUGCAAGCCAGCGGGCUUGGGCGCAAGCCCAACGGCGUAGCACCCUUAACGGGGCCAACGCCCCGUUAAGGGUGAAACGCGGCAAUCUCUACGCGCAGCAACACCAAAUAGGCCAGCAUUGAAGCGGCUCGCUGAGCUGGCGGGUAGGUGGCAUUGAGCAGGGGUGGCAACACCCCCGCCCAGAGGAAUGGCGGUCACGCGGUGGGCUUCGCAAGAGGCCUGCCGUGCACAGAAUCCGGCCUAUCGGCUUGCUCCACAC
rnacentral:RNase_P_RNA from 1 species